rnacentral:misc_RNA from 1 species
AAGAGAGGGAUCUUCAGAAAAAUUCAGGUAUUCAAGUGAACAUUUAGUAUACAUCAUAUUGUUAAUUCAGUUUAAUAUGGAUCAUUAUGAACAAGGACUCAAAUAGUUGACAGAUGUAGCUUUAAUUUAAAGAUUUCUGGAAGAAGACAACAUGAAAACAUGACAGAUCAAAAGGUAGUCUGGAACUCUGGAUGGAGAGAGAAGAGAGAGAGAAGGGGGGAAAACCUGGGCAGGAAUUCUGUCAGUAU